rnacentral:rRNA from 1 species
GGCCAGACUCCUACGGGAGGCAGCAGUGAGGAAUAUUGGUCAAUGGCCGAGAGGCUGAACCAGCCAAGUCGCGUGAGGGAAGACGGCCCUACGGGUUGUAAACCUCUUUUGCCGGGGAGCAAGCCUGAGCACGUGUGCCCAGGCGGAGAGUACCCGGAGAAAAAGCAUCGGCUAACUCCGUGCCAGCAGCCGCGGUAAUACGGAGGAUGCGAGCGUUAUCCGGAUUUAUUGGGUUUAAAGGGUGCGCAGGCGGAGGUGCAAGUCAGUGGUCAAAUUGCGGGGCUCAACCCCGUACUGCCGUUGAAACUGCAUCCCUUGAGUGCGCGAGAAGUAUGCGGAAUGCGUGGUGUAGCGGUGAAGUGCAUAGAUAUCACGCAGAACUCCGAUUGCGAAGGCAGCAUACCGGCGCGCAACUGACGCUCAUGCACGAAAGCGUGGGUAUCGAACAGGAUUAGAUACCCCAGUAC